AGAGUUUGAUCCUGGCUCAGGAUGAACGCUGGCGGCGUGCCUAAUACAUGCAAGUCGAGCGAACGGACGAGAAGCUUGCUUCUCUGAUGUUAGCGGCGGACGGGUGAGUAACACGUGGAUAACCUACCUAUAAGACUGGGAUAACUUCGGGAAACCGGAGCUAAUACCGGAUAAUAUUUUGAACCGCAUGGUUCAAAAGUGAAAGACGGUCUUGCUGUCACUUAUAGAUGGAUCCGCGCUGCAUUAGCUAGUUGGUAAGGUAACGGCUUACCAAGGCAACGAUGCAUAGCCGACCUGAGAGGGUGAUCGGCCACACUGGAACUGAGACACGGUCCAGACUCCUACGGGAGGCAGCAGUAGGGAAUCUUCCGCAAUGGGCGAAAGCCUGACGGAGCAACGCCGCGUGAGUGAUGAAGGUCUUCGGAUCGUAAAACUCUGUUAUUAGGGAAGAACAUAUGUGUAAGUAACUGUGCACAUCUUGACGGUACCUAAUCAGAAAGCCACGGCUAACUACGUGCCAGCAGCCGCGGUAAUACGUAGGUGGCAAGCGUUAUCCGGAAUUAUUGGGCGUAAAGCGCGCGUAGGCGGUUUUUUAAGUCUGAUGUGAAAGCCCACGGCUCAACCGUGGAGGGUCAUUGGAAACUGGAAAACUUGAGUGCAGAAGAGGAAAGUGGAAUUCCAUGUGUAGCGGUGAAAUGCGCAGAGAUAUGGAGGAACACCAGUGGCGAAGGCGACUUUCUGGUCUGUAACUGACGCUGAUGUGCGAAAGCGUGGGGAUCAAACAGGAUUAGAUACCCUGGUAGUCCACGCCGUAAACGAUGAGUGCUAAGUGUUAGGGGGUUUCCGCCCCUUAGUGCUGCAGCUAACGCAUUAAGCACUCCGCCUGGGGAGUACGACCGCAAGGUUGAAACUCAAAGGAAUUGACGGGGACCCGCACAAGCGGUGGAGCAUGUGGUUUAAUUCGAAGCAACGCGAAGAACCUUACCAAAUCUUGACAUCCUUUGACAACUCUAGAGAUAGAGCCUUCCCCUUCGGGGGACAAAGUGACAGGUGGUGCAUGGUUGUCGUCAGCUCGUGUCGUGAGAUGUUGGGUUAAGUCCCGCAACGAGCGCAACCCUUAAGCUUAGUUGCCAUCAUUAAGUUGGGCACUCUAAGUUGACUGCCGGUGACAAACCGGAGGAAGGUGGGGAUGACGUCAAAUCAUCAUGCCCCUUAUGAUUUGGGCUACACACGUGCUACAAUGGACAAUACAAAGGGCAGCGAAACCG
rnacentral:rRNA from 9 species